UGGCAGUGGAAUCCUUUCCUAACCGACAUUGAGGUAAAAAAUGAUAGGUCUGCCUGAUUGUGGGAGACCAUGGCAAACCAGUGUGCCUCUGAGAACCACUGAGAAGAUGAGUUUAAACCACAACAGACAGAAUCCCGGGAAAGCAGAAAGGCCAGAGUACAUAGUCAUCCAUGAACCUAAAAUCAACCAGUGGAAGGAGAGAUAGCAGCAGAGGGCAGUUCCCUGAGAAGGGAACCAUAACCAGGAAGCAGGCAGAAUGGAGGCAUCGAGAACACACAGAUUUCACCUGGCAGAAACCAGCCCUAGAAGAAAGGCAAGGCUCCAUGCCACCAAUCAUGGCAACUAAUCUACAACCUCUCCUGACCUUGACGUUGAGCAGAAGCAAGUCUGGAGAUGCUGAAGCCUGGGCGCCCUCCUGCAAGCAACAGGACAGAGUAGGCUGACGGGUGUGGAGGCAACUGAAGCCUGGCUGGGGUUCCAGGACGGAGAGCAAUGCCUGCCCUUGAGUUCUCAGCUUUCUGACCAGUUCGUCCCCUUUCUACAUGUAUCACCCACAACUCAAUAAAUGUGUUCUACAUGAGA